GACGAACCGUCCAAACGUUAUUCGGAAUCACUGGGCUUAAAGGGCGCGUAGGCGGCCGAGCGGGUCGUGGGUGAAAUCCUCCAGCUUAACUGGAGAACUGCUGACGAUACCACUGCGGCUCGAGGAAGGAAGGGGCAAUCGGAACUGUCGGUGGAGCGGUGAAAUGCGUUGAUAUCGACAGGAACGCCGGUGGCGAAAGCGGAUUGCUGGUCCUUUUCUGACGCUGAUGUGCGAAAGCCAGGGGAGCAAACGGG
rnacentral:rRNA from 1 species